UGAAAUACAGCUUUUCAAAAUCAAGUGAUUGUGAGGUACUAUACAUCCCUCUAAUAUUCUUUCAAUCUCUAUAUAAAUUUACGUAAAUUUCAUGAAUAUAUAUAUAUAUAUGAAUAAAUUUUGUUGUUGUUACAGUAAAAAACCCCACAGCCGAUCACGUAAUUAUGAUGGAAAGUCAAUAUGAUAUAAGGUAAGGAUGUAUCAAGAACUUCAACAUUUAUAUGCUUUAAAUAGGCAAAGACAAUAAUAUUUUACUUAUCUAUGUAGGUUCAGCGACAAAGCGAGGGUGGAGAUAGUAGCAUUGAGUUCGAUGGUAUUAUGCUUUCUAUUAAUUAUCUUUCCAGCACUAAAGGUAUCGUCCUUUGGUAGUAAUUUCAUGGGAUUUAUUGUUGAUGGUGUUCCUCUCAUUUCCUGUCUUCUUGUUAUAACCUUCCAAAUAGUAAUAUUUGUUAUUAUAGCAAACCAUCCCGUUAACAAGACCAUAUUUCCAAUCUUAUAUAUAUUGCUUCUCUUAACUGCAACAUCAGUUAUACAAAUCAGCUUUAUUUCAUUUAUGUCUGCUAUCUUUAUUUUGUUCACAUGGAUUCUCACAAUUGCAAUUAUUCUUUGUAUUAACAGCCAAGAGAUCAAUGAUGCAGAUAUAGCAUCCUUCAAUGGAUUCCGAAUAUUUUUAACAAUAAUUUCUGUAAUUUCCCUACUUUGGAAUGCUAAUAGCAUAUUUCACCUUUGUUAUCCUUAAUUCUAUUUUCUUCUCCUCGAUGGAAAAUAUCUAAAUCGAUUAUCUUUAAACUGAUUAUGUGUAUUAAUAGUACUUAGGAUUUUCGAGCUCAUCAAUGCUAAUUUAUAGUUUUUUU
rnacentral:lncRNA from 1 species